UAKGGUUCCUUAGAUCGUACCCACAAUUACUUGGAUAACUGUGGUAAUUCUAGAGCUAAUACAUGAAAACAGAGCUCCGACCGGAGACGGAAGGAGUGCUUUUAUUAGAUCAAAACCAAUCGGUGGCGGGUUGGUGACUCUGAAUAACUUUACGCUGAUCGCACGGUCAUCGCACCG
rnacentral:rRNA from 1 species